rnacentral:rRNA from 1 species
GACAGAGGGUGCAAGCGUUGUUCGGAAUUACUGGGCGUAAAGCGCGUGUAGGCGGCUAUUCAAGUCGGAUGUGAAAGCCCUCGGCUCAACCGGGGAAGUGCACCCGAAACUGCAAAGCUAGAGUCUCGGAGAGGAUCGUGGAAUUCUCGGUGUAGAGGUGAAAUUCGUAGAUAUCGAGAGGAACACCGGCGGCGAAGGCGGCGAUCUGGACGAUGACUGACGCUGAGACGCGAAAGCCAGGGGAGCGAACGGG